UCCUCCUGCCUCAGCUUCCUGAGUGUUGGGAUCUCAGGCGUGCACCACCAUGCCUGGUUCAGAUCAUUUUCUUUAGAUCUCCUACAAGUCUGUGCCAGGGCUCCCAGUUGGUGUCUCAUCUCUUGCUGCUCUUACAGUUGUCUUCCUUUCCAGGGAGGGCCAAGUGCAGUCAGAAGUGUGCUCUUAACUUACCAUGUUCUCUGUGUUUGUUUCUGGGGAGAGAACACAGAUCCUCCUGAAUACUAGGCAAGUGCUCCCUACUGAGCUACAUUCCUGGUCUCUAUUUAAAACUUCGGAAGUGAAAGGAGUAUUUUUUAAGCUGGAGGAUGGUUUCCUGCAGAUGAAUGUCAUUUCCUUCUCAGUAGCCAACUCUACAACUGCUCCACAUUUUGGUAGUGGGCAUGGUUUUCAUCCCCAAGAGACCACCAGGACCCCUGAAAGAGCAUCCCAUUAGCAAGCCUGAGGCCUGUCUGCCCAGUGUCAGAUGAAUUCUCGAUCUGCCUUUACUGUGAGCCUUCUGAGCUGGCUUUCCCUGUGAUCUGGCUCAUUUUCAUCCCGUGGUCUUCACUGCCCAAAACAUGAUGCCUUCUCAUUUCUCUGGCCUUUGUCCACCAAUUCCUAGCAGACCUCUUCUUUGUGCCUUGUGGCCUUGCCUCCUGAUGCCCUGGGGGUCUACCCAAAGCUAGAGUGACAGACCUGGUCAACUAAGAAAUAGAAACCAGAAAGUCCAGUAGGAACUUCCCCAGUUCCUGAUCACAAGCUCCGUGAAUACCCAUUUUCUGUUGCUUCUCAUACUGCCGCUUUGGUUUUUAGCACUGCUGUGAAGUUGUCACCAGCAUCAAGCUGGAGGGAAACCCAUCCUCCACAACCCGCUCUCAUGCAGUGUUCAGGAGUGAAGGCCACCCUCUCAGCUACACAGAUAAAUGAAUAAGAAGUGCAGGGCUGGCUUGUGAAAUGUGAAUGUUUGUGUUCAAAGGGGCUGCAGAGCCCACCUCAGCCUAAGCCCCCGCUCCCGCACUUAGGGGCUGAGGAAGGAAAGCGACGUAACUGGUCACUGCCUGGUGGAAUUCCAAGCCCAUACUGUGUCUGCAGUAUGUCCCUUCUCUCAACAGGCUCCCACGGGAAAACGAGGGCAUGACUAGGAGGCCCUCCUGCUUAGGGUUAUGAGGAAAGUCCAUACAUUUUUUCUCCCAGAUGUUGCUGGGACCACUGUGUGCAGCUGAUCAUACUGUACAGUGGAAACUGAGGCUGCUGCAGAGCACAGGAAAUCUUCCAGCGGCUGUGCUUGUUGGAAUGCAGGGAGGCUACUGUACAGACCAGACACAGAGGUGCCCACAGUCUUGACAGUGGCUGGCAGAAGCCUUUUCUGCUGUCUCACACAAGGCCAGAACAGGAAUGUCUGCAGUGGCAUCUCGGCUGGGUGAUGUCCGGGUCCAAGGUAUUCAGCUCAUAAAAGCAGCGGGAUCUGAACACAGUGGCUGUUUAGUUCUGUCUGGCAUUCAGCACAUGCCUGUGUGAAGGCAGACAGCUGCUCAUCUUCGUCAAGGCCACACUGCAUGUCCAUGGUUCAACGAUCGGGGAACCAGGCCCCAGCCAGGUCUCCUGCCAGGGCAGUCUUCCCUUCCUGCACUCCACGGUGCUGGAACCCAAACUCCACAACAGAAGUCUUGGUGCUCUUGAAGGAUAAAGGAUGACUUAAAGUGUUCUUUGAGCAGGGUGUUUUGGGGCCAAGGAAAAGGUUAAUCUUUGGAGGGCCCUCCUCCUCUGGCUAGGGGACCCCUUGCCCAAUACACAAUUCCUGCUAGGAACUUGGGGUUCCCUACCAUCCCACAGCAUCUACAUCAGCCCCACCCACACCCCAGAAACCUCAACAAAUCUAUUCAAUGCAGAAUCCAUACAACAGCACACACCCCAUUUAUUAUUUCAAAAUAUUUUGUUACAAAAGGAAAAAAAAUACAAUGCAGUAUAAAAGAUUGACAGCGUCAUCAAGUUUAUUACACAAUUUUCAACCUAUCAGAAAGACAAACAAAUCACCGACAACGGGGGACGGGGCCUUGGCCUUUUUAGGGUGGGGAUUCUUUUCCUUUUGCUAUCAGGAAAUAAAACUAAAAAUUGUGUCAUUGAGUAAAAACAAAAAAUGGGGAGAAAAUAAUUCUCCAGGUAAACAGCUUCUCUGAUAUUCUAUAUACUGUUUUCCUUAGACUCACCUUACUUGGUUUUCUCUACAUUUUAAAAAGACACACGGAGCUGCUCUCAAGGGUAAGCGCAUCACUUACCACCUGGCCAGCGGGGCAGGGUGCCGUGGUCUGAGGCGGAGGGGCACAGGGCUGGGGGACGGGAUGAAGGCUACAGUCUGUAGCCUGUCCCAGGGGAAUGUGCCUCUCCAACCCUGGGCUCCCCAGUGACUGAGGGGUGUUUCAGAAACGUGCUAGGAACAGAGGAAGGGUUCAGUCCAACUCAGCCUCUCCCCUGAGCGAGAAGGGUCUCUGUGACCCUGUGCCCCAGCCCCAUCCGGCCUCCCACUCGGUGUCAGGUGCCCUGGAGAGGCAUGCAGAGUAGCCUCACCCUGGGCACUACAGGACCCUGCUGCUGGUACUUCCUUCAGUGGCAACCACAGGACAAUUUGGGUGUUUUGGGAAAAGCAACUCCAUCUGUCUGGGUAGAACAUGGCCUGAGUGCUGGUCCUUAAAACUCUGGGCUAGGCUCCGUUUCUUCCUCACUGCUUACCAGAGGCAGGAAAGACCUUCAGGUAGAGUGGAGCUCAUGAGUCAGAAGGUGAAAGGACACCAAAGCUGACUUCAUCUGCCUAGCAGUGCCACUCACCCCAUGAUGUGUACAAGUAUGUACCUGGGGACACAAGUCCAUGCUUAGCUUAGGCUGAGAAAGGGAGAGGCUGGGAAGCUGGCCAGAUCCCACCCAGGCUGCCUCCUCCCUGCUCCUCUGACACUUGG